UACGUAGGUGGCAAGCGUUGUCCGGAUUUACUGGGUGUAAAGGGCGUGUAGGCGGGUGUUCAAGUCGGAUGUGAAAAGGCAAGGCUCAACUUUGCUCGGUCAUCCGAAACUGGAUAUCUUGAGUGUCUGAGAGGAAAGCGGAAUUCCUGGUGGAGCGGUAAAAUGCGUAGAGAUCAGGAGGAACACCGGCGGCGAAGGCGGCUUUCUGGCAGACAACUGACGCUGAGGCGCGAAAGCGUGGGGAGCAAACAGGAUUAGAUACCCGGGUAGU
rnacentral:rRNA from 1 species